ensembl:lncRNA
CACAUAAAUAAAUCUGGGCACAGAGAGGUUAAAUAUCUUGUUGAAGGUGAAAUAGCCAACAAGAAUGGAGCUAGUAUUCAGCCAAGGUGCACUGUGAUAUCACCAGUCUUCUUUGUCAGAAAGUUUUCUAAAGAAAGGUUGAUGGUUUUUGACUGCUUGACUACUGCUAAAAUAUGCAUAACUUCCAGGCUGAUUUCCUACAUGUCUACUGAAAGUACUCAGAAGAGUCCCUGGAGAUUGGCACAUUCAAAGAGCAUAGAGAUCAUUCCUCUCACAGGACCCGGGAAUGCACUUCAGAUACGGACUACAAAGGAGAGUCAUGAGGGGGAGGGAAAGAUGGCGGAGGAAUAGGACGGGAAGAUCACUUUCUCCCUCACAAAUUCGUCAAAAGAACAUUUCAACGCCGAGCAAACUCCACAAAACAACUUCUGUAGGCUGGCAGAGGACAUCAGGCAACCAGAAAAGCAGACCAUUGUCUUCAAAAACAGGUAGAAAAAAUAUAAAAGACGAAAAAGGAGACAAAGGAGGUGGGAAGGGAGCUCCGUCCCGGGAAGGGAAGCCCGUCCCGGGAAGGGAAUUUUAAGAAGAGAGGUUUCCAAACACCAGGAAACACUCUCCCUGCCGAGUCUGUGGCGAGCCUUGGAAACACAGAGGGCAACAUAACAGGAAGGAAAAACAGAUACAUAAUUAAAACCAACAGAUUGCAAGCCCACCAGUAACUCCCCCAGUGGAAAAGCAGCACAGACGCCUGAAUCCGCAUUGGGAAGUGGGGGCAGGGCAGGGACGCGCGGGAGGCGCGGGCUGCAGAGCUUUGUAAGAAUCGGGCAGGAACGCCCCACGCGCAACCAGAACGAUCUAACUUGGGCUAGCAAACCAGACUGUGGGAUAGCUACCACACGAAAAGCUCGAACAUAAGAUACCGCCAGGACCGAGCACAGAACAAAGGACGGAACGGAAAA